rnacentral:lncRNA from 1 species
ACUGGCUGGACCCACGCGCGCGCCUCCGGGGCUGAAGAAGGAAGGAGUGAGCCGAGCCGAGCACCCCACAUCUGGAGGGGACAGCCAGCCGUGGGCCCCGCCCCGGCGUCCGGAGCAGGAGAACUCCGAGCUUCUUGCCCAGGCAGAGAGAGCAGGAGCGGACCGCGCGCCCGGGAUUGAGAGUCCUUGCGCUCCAGACCCCCACCCAGUGGCCGCCAGGGUCCCCGCCUGUCCGGACCCUCGCCGCGCCCAGGCAGGCGCGCCAGGGCGGGGCUGACCUGCCCGCGAAGUUGCGGACAGUGCGUGAGAAACCAGCACCCCCUUCCGCCGCCUCCAGCUUAUGGUGAGUGUGGCUGGGGGUGCAGAGAGCGCACGGGAAUUCGGGGGUCUGGGGCCGAGAACGUGACCGCAGCCGGGCUCGCCGGGAGUUCUAGGAAACUGGUCAAAGAACUCAUGCAAGUGGAACUUACAGCUUCCUUGAUCGGACUCAGCAUUCAGGGAGCAGAGAAAGACCAAGAGCAAGACACAGUGGAGGAGCAGCACUGAUGGAGAGACAUGCCCCAGAGGACGUGGGGAGGUGUAGGAAUCCCAGCCGCCAGAUGAGAGUUCAGCUACGACGCAGCACUGCAGGCCCAGGAAGGCCAUGGUCCAGAGGGAAUCAGAACAGAAGAGAAAUGAGGAGCCCAGAUAAGAGAUCCACCCUGAAUCCUAGUAACACACAGAGGGCGGGGAGCUCCGGUCU